CAAUAACAAGAUAUUAUUAAUAACGAUUAAAUGAUCAUAUUUUAUAGCUCAAGGUGUGACCACUCUGACAAGUUACGUCUACUGUUAAUGUCCAAUUACUAUGAUGGAAAAGGCGACAAUUUUGUCCAGUUAAAGUAACUAAUGUUCUGACCUCUGUUGAGGGCAAAGGAACAGUCCAAAAGACAAACUGAAACUUUUUGUCAUUUAUCUAACUAUUUGA
rnacentral:lncRNA from 1 species